rnacentral:rRNA from 1 species
GACGGAAGGUGCAAGCGUUGCUCGGAACCACUGGGCGUAAAGGGUGCGUAGGCGGCUUGGUAAGUUGGGUGUGAAAGCCCCGGGCUCAGCCCGGGAAGGGCACUCGAAACUGCCGAGCUGGAGUGCCGGAGGGGAGAGUGGAAUUCCCGGUGUAGCGGUGAAAUGCGCAGAUAUCGGGAGGAACACCAAUGGCGAAGGCAGCUCGCUGGGACGGUACUGACGCUGAGACGCGAAAGCGUGGGGAGCAAACAGG